rnacentral:piRNA from 5 species
GGGCCCAUAACCCAGAGGUCGAUGGAUC